ACACACGUUAUUCACACACCAUGGAAUGCUACUCAGCCAUAAAAAGGAAGGAAAUAAUGGCAUUCACAGCAACCUGUAUAGAAUUGGAGACUAUCAUUCGAAGUUAAGUAACUCAAGAAUGGAAAACCAAGCAUCAUAUGUUCUCACUCAUAUGUGGGAGCUAAGCUAUGAGGAUGCAAAGGCCUAAGAAUGAUACAUUGGACUUUGGUGACUCAGGACAAAGGCUGGGAAAUGGCAAGGGAUAAAGGACGACACAUUAGGUACAGUGUACACUGCUCAGGUGAUGGCUGCAUCAAAAUCUCAGAAAUCACCACUGAACAACUUAUUCAUGUAACCAAACACCACCUGUUCCCCAAAACCUGUAGAAAGUAAAAAAAAAAUAAAAAUAACAAGAAAAGAAAUUUCCUGUCCUAACAAUCAAUUAAUUAUUGUAUCAUAUAUUGCCAAUAGGAGCUAAACAAUGAGUAUGGGCCAGAUUGAUCUGUAUUUUCUAAUAGACCUUAUUUUUUAGAGGUGUUUUAUGUUCACACCAAAACUCAAUGAAAGGUAACAAAGAUUUCCUAUACAUCCCCUUUCCCAACAUGUGCAUAGCCUUCCCCAUUAUCAACAUCUUCCAUGAGAGAGGUACUUUGUUACAACUGUUGAACCAGCAUUGACACAUUAUUAUCACUCAUGAUCCAUAGUUUACAUUAGAGUUCACCCUUGCUGUUGUACAUUCUGUGAGUUUGGGAAAAUGUAUCAUGACAUUUAUCCCUAUCUUUAAAAAUAGUAGUACCAACAUGAACUUGAAUUUGGCCCUUGUAUCUUUACAAUACUGGUUUUAUUUUACUCUCAUAGUCAUCUUUUGAUGCUAUAACAGGACCACCUGAUUACUCAUACUAUUUGCAGGUUGUCUCCAAGAUUGCCAAUAUGGGUCACCCAGAAUUAGCACAAUGGGAAAGGCAGGUUGGAUAGGCCAUCUUAAAAACCACGAAGACAAAUCGUCUUACAUUAGAGGAAAAAAGGUAGUGUCUGCCAUGACGUCUACCAUAAAAUCUAUCUGAAAAUUACAAUUGCUUUAAGGUGAAGUAAGUCAGAAGAGUUAAUGUCCAUUUCAUGUUCAUGUAUGUGUGUAUGUUUGAGUCUUUAUGUAGUUAUGUGGUACUACAUAAACUCUCAAAUAUACACACAUACAUGAACCACUAUGUAAUACCACCAUAUUGUCUGUAUAUCCAGGGAUAUAGGCUUGGCUAACUUGUUUUGUGAUCCACUGUUGAUACAUUUGUAAAUCUAAAUGCUAACUCAUGUAUUCUGUUUACCUUUCUGAGGCAGGCAGGCUUCAAUUGACUUAACAGCAUGCUAGCAACUCAGAGACUGUGAAAUCUAAUCACAUUUUGACCCAUUCUUAAAUUGCUUCAUCUGUGAAAAAAUGUUUGAUGAAUGCAGUACUCUUUUGUGAGGGUUUCUAUGAAAAAUCAAUAUUAGAAAUGAUUGUGGGGCACUUUGAAAGUAAAAAUUGUUAUGAAAUGUUAAUUAUAUUCAAAACACCCUUUGACAUCAACUUACAGAGAAAAAAGUGUAAUUUUUCCCAUUAUAGACCUUUUUAAGGAAUUCCAUAUUUGGUUUAUCCCUAGAAUUUUCUAUACUUGUGUGUACCGUACUUCUCCUAACCCAUUAAUGGAAUUAGUAAACAUCAUAUAAUAUUGAAAGAUAUUUCUAUUAGAUGAGCUUUCAAUUAUUCAUGGUAAUGGAAGAACAUUAAUGCAGCUCUUACAAAAUGACAGACUGUCAGAAAGAUCUCAGGAAGAGUGAAGGGCCAGAGAACCUAGAGUCCCUGAUCUGUAUAAAUUUGCUGCAGUGUCUUUAUAAAGUGGAUAACAAUUGUGUUAGAGAUCAUUUGAUCAGGGAGAACCCAGCUCAACUGUGCAAUUAAGAGGAACUGGGAGUUAGGAGGAAGUGAUCCUCAAUAUAUUAAGGCAUUUCAGUUCACUUCUGGAUGUCCCACUUGGUAGAAGAAAGUACAUUUUUCAGUGUGUAAUAGCAGCAGCCACAGCAGCAGAAGUAACAGUAGAAAUAGCAGUAGCAGUGAUAGUAGCAGUAGAAGUGGUAGCAGCAGCAGCAGCAGUUGGGAUAGUGGGAAUAGUAACAAUGGCAGCAGGAGCAUUAGCUAGCAUUUUAUUAACUGUUACUAUGUGGCAGGCACUGUUCUAACCUCUUUACACAUUUCAAUUCAUUUAAUUUUCAUAACGCUCCUUACAACAUGGGCAAUUCCCAUCUUAGGGAAUACUGUCUAUGAGAAUAUUACUCAUCAAAAACGAGCAAAGGGCCAAAGGGAGAAUAGGUAUGCAGUGCUGAAAGUUCAGAGAUGCUGCGUAGUCAUUUGAAGAGAGCUGAACGGGACUUGUUCCAGCUUAAAAGACAACAGAAAUCCUCAGGUGACUAGGCACCUGCUGCCACAGAAAGCUUCUGAUGGUGGAGAGAACGCUGAGAAAACUCUACAGUCCUCUGUGUUUAGGAUCCCAUAACCGAGAAAAGAAGUAUAACCUGAAAUUAAGGAGGAGAAUAUUUUUAUUCUAAAGAUGAAAAGUAUAAGAAAUGAUUUAAUCACAUAUAAAAAAUUUAUAUUGUAAACAGGAACAAAGGGGAAAAAAUCUCAUACUGGUAAGGGCAUUUUUAUGAACUGAAACAGGUUGCUGAAGGAGGAAAUGGAAUCUUUUCCCCUAGAGGCAUUUAAUGCCAGGACUAAUAGCAUCAGGAUAAAAUGAUAUAAGUAAAACCCUGAGAAAGAAGGGAUAAACCUCUAGAGUCAUUUUCAGGACUAUGGUUUUAUAAGGUAAUUCUUAAAUGUUUAAUAUAUUAGAAUGGGAGAAACAGAUCUGUGUCCAAAUAAUUAGGACAUCGGUUUCCUUCAGGAUUCUGUCUCAAUAACCUUGAAGACUGUGGUGAAACAAAAGAACAUCAAGGUCAAAAAGAAUUAGAAACAAAUGUGCUUUAUUCUCAUUGUGCACUGAUAUGAUAGAUAAUACUUGAGUUAUAUAAUUAUAAUUAAUUUGAAAUGCAGUACUUGAAAUUUAAGCAGAUGUAUUCCUCUCACUGUAACACUGUUAGAGGUAAAAUAAAGGAGAAUGAUUUUAUACUCAAAUCUAGUAAAAUUAGCAAUCCAUAUGGACUUCAUUUUAUGCAAAUUAUUAAUCUUGUAUUUUUACUUUUGCAUUUGGGAAGUGGAAGAAUUGUAAUUCAGAAUCGGAAUGUUGAAAGUGUCAUAUUGUUUCUUUUACACAUGAGAUGAUUUACAAUUUUAAGUGUUAUGCUCUUCAGAAGAAAAAUGACUUACAUUGAGCCCCAGAAGUCAACAUGAGCAGAAAGCAAAUGACGUUUUGUUUAGCUUAAGAAAAAGUUUUCCUAGCCACCUAAUUUUGGAAAAUACUUGGAGAACGUGUGAAUAAAAAUAUAAAAUAGAUAAUGUUCAUCCAAUAGGUUUAACAUUUUAUAUUAGAUACAAAAUAAGAACUGAUGGGUAUGUUAAUAGGAGUAUUAAAUAGAAUUUCUCUCAAGGAAAGAUUUUAAAGUAAAUGAUCAUAAAUCUUGUGCUGAUAAAUCACUCAUCAUAUAAUAAACAAAAAAUAAUUAAGUGUUUGUCUAAAUUUAACAUUUUUAGGUGCUUAAGUUUUGCUUGGAUUCUAUUAAUUGGUGUAUGUAGUUAAGAAAUACAUCUUGCCAUUCAAGUAGACCUGGUUCUAAAUAAAAGUUCUACCACCAACUAGCAUAGUGACAUAUGACCUUGUACAGGUUAGUAACAUCUGUAAGUUCUCCAUUUCUUCAUUUGUAAAAUGUGUAUAAUGAUAUUAUUUACCUCAGUGUCCUUGUGAGGAUUAAAUUAAUUUGUGAAUUAAGUGCUUCAUAUAGUGACUGAUGUUUGAUAGGUGUCAGUGGAGAUAACAUUUUGUAAUUAUUAUAUAUGAUUUAAAAUGCAUGUGAUAACACCAUAAAGUUUAGGUUAAAUAGUAUAGGUUAGACAGUUAUAGAGGGAUAUAUUUGUACAGUAUUUCUUUUGAUGUUCUGUAUACAUCUUCUUGUAAAUAAGAAUACAAAAUAGUGUCUCCAUCUUCUCUCUACACAUUUGCACAUCAUUCCAAUCUUACAGACCUAGGUGAUUGUGCUAUAGCCUAUAAUAUGCACAGACUCUAGUCAAACAUACUUGAUUUCUACUUCCUCUUCUAGUGCAUAGUACAUGGAUGUGGGAUAAGUCACCUAGCCCAUUUCUGAACUUCAGUUGUAAUCUGUAAAAUGAGCUCAUUGAUAGCUAACUAAUAGGUUGCUUGGAAGUACAGAUAUAACAAUGUCAAGAAUUUCCAUAGUUGACAUAGAACAGAUUUAAUACUGAAUAAGUAAAGUGUCCACAGCUGCUGUUAUUGCAAUGUGUGUUUGUCCAUUAGAGGCCCCCUUUUGAUUACACUUUCUUUCUAUUAAAUAAUGCAAAAUAAGGUAAUUAUAAAAUAGUAUGUUUAAUAUUUUUGACUAAAGUUUUGCACUCGCUGAAUGGAAGAAUAAAUAAUUAGUUAGGCCUAAAAUGGUCAUGUGCCAUGAUGUUAUUUAUCAAACAUUAUUUAGUUCCAUUUAGCAAAUUUAAUGCCUACUAUAUGGAAAACAUCAUGUUCAAUGCUGGCAAAAGGGGAUGAUAAAUGUUAGUAAAUUAGAUAUAGUUCUGCUACUUAGUGACUUAAAAUCCAGUGAUUGACAUAAACACAGAGGUUAAUUUAUGAUUGUCAGUAAAAGUAUAUGAAGAAAUGAGUAAAUAGUUGAGUGCAGUGGCUCAUACCUGUAUACCCAGCACUUUGGGAGGCUGAGGCUGGCAGAUAUCUUGAACCCAGGAGUUUGACACCAGCCUGGGCAAAACCGAUAGAAUGAUGAAAUUCCAUCCUUAAAAAAAAAAUAAAAAAAUAAAAAUGCAAAACUUAGCCAGGUGCGGUGGUGCGCACCUAUGGUUCUAGGGACUCAGGAGGCUGAGGUGGGAGGAUUGUAUGAGUCCAGAAGAUGGAAAGAUCAUGCCACUGCACUUCAGCCUGGGUAACAGAGCAAGACUCUGCCUCAAAUACAUAAAACAAAAAUAAAGUACUGUGAGAUACAGUAGGAAUACAGAUUUGUCUUAAUGGAGAGAAUUGGGAAGCCUCCUUAUGCAAGUGACCUAGAAAGGAAGAGAAGGCUGCUAUGAAGUGUAAAGGCUUUCUAGAAAACAGCAAGAACAAAGAAAGACUUGGAUUUGACAAAGCUCAGAGUGUGUUCAGAGUACUGAAAUGUAGGGUGCUGGUGUGCUUACAUGUAUGUGCAGUUAUGUUUAUUUGUGAAAAAUGAGCUAAGGGUCAGAAUAUGGGGGAAAUAAAUUUUAAAAGCAUAACUUAUAAUUAUAUUGAAGAAGGACUUGAAUUCUAGGCAAAGGUGUGUGAUCUUAUUUUGUAUAUAUUGGGAAUACCUCAAAGGCUUUUGACCAAGGAAAUGAAAAAACCCAAUUUUUAUUUGAGAAAGAUAAUCCUGAUGCCAUUGUUUAAGAUAUGUCUGCAGAGAGUGAGUUUAAAGCUGGGAGAGCAUUUAGGAAGCUAAUGUGAAGAUAAGGGGAAAAAGCAGAUAUCGUCUGACCUAAAGCCUCAGCUGUGAAAAUAGAGCUGACUCAAGAGAUCUAUUCCAGCAUGGAUAGUUUGGGCUCCUCUGUUAAAUAGUGUUUCAAAUGACUAGUAAGUCUAGCAGCCUGAACAUGCUGCAUAGUCCUUUUUAGAGCACAUGUUGGAAGAGUUGAUAGAUGUCCAUUUUCCCGUGCUUAUUUACUGAAAGACUCCAGGAGAGGUACCUAAAUUUGCUUUCUCUGUAAAACAUGAAUUACUUGAUUUCAUCAUUUUGGUCUCAGAGAGUUUUAAGGAUUAAUUAGUUGAGAAAAAGUUCCUCAAAAAGAACAACUAUGGAACAUACGGUUUCCCUGAUACAAAUAAAUCUUAUAGAUGCCUCCAUGUUGUCUUUGGAAGCGCAGUUAUAAAAGAAAUGCAAAAAUUGUGUAAAGUAAAAGAUAAGCUGAGAUCAACAAAUAAUAAAUCCCCAGCAUUAGCUUUUGCAUAGGAAAUAAACAUUUCUGUCUCACUGACAACAGCUUUCUUUUAAAGGAAAACAACCUGAUAGCCCUAAGGCCACAUUAAUAUCAGCCAAAGAAACAUGUAUUGUUUCUCUUCUGGAAACCAUAAGAAUGAGCAUGUUGUAUCAAAAUGGUCACAUAUAAAUUAGUUUUUUCUGAAUCUAUAACCUUUUAUUUAUUGCUGAUGAAGUGAUAUAUUUUUCCUAAAAUAUUUUUUUUUCUUUCUGUGCCGUCUUUCUUUGCAAGUUACCUCUACAAAUUUAUGUCAAAAUAUGUAUGUUCAUUAUACUUUCGCCAGUGGCUUGCUUUGAUGCAACCAUAAAUGAAUAUCAUUAUGCUGUACAAAGAUAAUUUAUUUUUUAGGCUUUGCCGUCAUGCUGUAUGUAGCUUGUAUAGUUAAAACAGAGAGAAACUGAAAUAUGUGGGGCCCUAAGAAAGUUUAUUGUUUUGUUUUUGGCUUUUUCAAACUGACAUUCUCCAUUGUAUCUCUAUAAUUUAAGACAACCAGGUAUGACAUGCACAAUUUAUUUGCUAAGACAAAGAAGAUAUGCUGGAUAAUGCUCUUUGGGGCAGACUUCCAAGUCUCCUCCUUGUCCCCAAAUUCAGCCCAUUUUUAUUCAUUUCUGUCUGGCUCCUGAUUCUUUGCUGCAUCUGUCAUUCUCAACUUGACCUUGUUCUUUCUCUUAGGGAUGUGUGUAGACUCUCCUUAUCCCUAUUUACAUUGAAUAAUACUCAGUCAUUAGGAUGUCUCUGUAAGACUUUAUACCCUUAAGGGAAGAGUUUAAUGUGCCUUAAGCUGUAUUUUUCCAAAUAUAACAUUUAAUCUCUCCUUAACACUUUGUUUUCCUACACCCUGUAUAGUUGGCAUUGCUACAUUCUAACUAUGUGAUAUUGGUCAAUUUACUAAACUUUGCAGUUCUUAAUUUUUCUACUUAUAAAAUUGUGAUAAUAAGAAUAAUUGCUUCAGAGCAGUGUUGUGAGAAAAUUAUAUAGAAAAUCAUACCAUAAAUAAUACAUAUAAUAUACUUAGCUCAGUGUAUGGAUCACAGUAACAGUUCAGCAAUUUCAUAUUAUUAUUACUGAUAAUAGUAACCAUUAUUAUGUAAUUGCUCCAUAUUGUUCCUCAUCCUGUGUUCCCAGUCUUGAUCAAUGUUACCACCAUUCGACCAAUUUUUAGACCAAUGUCCUGAAUUAUCAUUGACACAUCUUCACUCAUCAUAUUUCUAUGCAUUGCCAUAUUCUUAAGUUCAAGCCACUGUCAUUUCUUUCUUGAGUUACUGAAAUAGCUAACUCAUCUCCCUAUAUUUCCCUUGCAUACUCUGCAAUUCAUACUCAUAAUAGAGCUAGAGAGAAUUUUGGAAAUUUAAGUCUGAUCAUAUUACCUCUUGUUUAAAAUGUUUCAAUAGCCUCUCAUAACUUCUAAUAUGAAGUCUAAAAUCCUUGAUAUGAGCUAUAAUAAAAGCCCUGCAUGACAUGUCCUUUGCCUAAUUCCCCUGUGUCAUUCAUCUCCUCUUUAUCACCUUCGUAUUCAAGCUUUGGCUUUUCUGAACUUUUCUUAUUUUCAAAAAUGUCCCCCAUUCCAUUUCCACCCAAGACCUUUACACACCCCAUUUCCUCCUCCUGGAAGGCUCUUAUUUCCACUGGGUAACCUUACUCUUCAGGUCUAGUGACUUUUUUCCAGAAGCUUUCCUGAUAUCUUCCCAUUUCACCCCACUGCUGACUUAUUAAAUUUUCUAGAAUUUUAUACUUCUACACUACAUUCUCUGUGUUAUAUUCUCUUAUUCAGGGUCUGGUAUUUAAUUUUUAAGUUCCUUGAAAAUAGAGACAAUCCCAUUGUUUUCAUCAGUUUGGUCUAAUUAUAUAUAACAUAGAUGAAAAUAGAUAUUUUAUAUUAUAUAUAUUGUAUAAAUAAUUGUUGAAUUAGAUGAAUAAACUAUAGUGAGAAGAUGCUAGGCUUUGUUAACCAAUCAGACCUAAGCUCAAAUCCCAGCGUGGCCACUUGCUACCUCUGGUACUUUGAACAAGUUCUUUAGCCUUCUUUCUUUGAUUUUGUUUUGUUUCAGUCAGGAAAUUGUAAGAUAAUUAUAGUCUCCUCAUUAUUCUUAUAAUACUAAAAUAAGGAAACAUGGGUAAAGCACUUAACAUAGAGUAUAUUUUCUACAAAUUUUACUUCCUCUUUUUUUUUCUUUAUUUAUAAAGUUGUUCUUCCAAAGUAGUAGUACUAACAUUGUAUAGUGUAAAGCAUUCAUGCCAUUUUAUUGUAUCUUCUCUUAAGACAUAUAGAAGAUAAUUUGGUCCCUCUUGUCAAUAUUCUUGGAGUGAUUGAUGACAAACCAUUUUAGUGUCCCUAGAAGUGGAGGACUUACUGCCCCUUUUUUUCAAGAAUGAAUAUUCUUUUUUUCCCCUAUAAUCUGAGGAGGGGAUGCAGUGAUCUAAACGUAAAAGUACCAGAAAAAAAAAAAAAAAUUGUCCUUUUGCUGAUUGAUUUCAGGGAUGUGAAUUAUUUCAGGGAUAAAAUUGUUUCCCCCAUAAUUUAAAAAUAAUAUAAUAUUAUAGUUUAAAGUAGGUGCUCUUCAUCUACUUCCUGAAACUCUACAGUGAGGCCAAAAGAAUUGAAUUUAAAGAAUAAUUCUGGAAUGUCUAUAAGUUAAACAGACAACUUGAUUUCUGAGUUAUAGUCAGAUUGACGCCACUUCUUUUCAUUGCUGCAUUUGAGAAAAUAGUGUAGAAACGUACAUUCAGACUAUGUAAGACAUAACUAAGAAACGUGAAAACAAAGAGCAGAAGUCAGGGAAACACUAAUGGUUCUAGAGCACUAAUGGGAAAAUGAGGAAGUACAUCAAGAAAGGGCCAAACUGCAUCACAGAGAACAUAAUAACUGCACAACGUUUCAAGGGUCAUUUUGACAGGGAAAGUCCAGGGGCAAAGAAGGAAAAUGAAUAUAAAGAGCAAAAUGUUGUUAAGCCUUGAAAUAGAUAGUAAUAAAAUUUCCCAUAAGGAAUUUUUUAAAAAUAUGGCAGACUGGAAAGUAUUAGUUGUCCCAAAGGAGUCUUAUUUUUCCAAUUGAAGUAGCUGCUGCUUAUCUGAAACUUAACAGUAUGUCAUGGCCAAAAUAAGCAGGUAGUUAUAAGAAAUUAAAUUUUCCUGGAGAAUGAACGAAUAAUAGUGACCUACAAGUAAUUAUAAUAUCACAUGAUUCACAUUCUGAAGAAGGUCAAAUAAUAAACAUAAAAUUCAGUUCCAUCUGCCAGCAUGAAUACUUGUUGAGUGCCUACUGUGUGCCUGGCACAGCUAGCUUCACUGUUCUAUCUAUCUGGAUAUAUAUAUGGAAGACGGGUGGGUCAGUGAAAGAGAUAAAGCCUUUUUAUGUAGACAAACACAAAUACAAAAACUGUUUUGGAAUUUUUGCAGAAUUGCAAAUGUUAUUUCUUAUUUUAAAGUCAGACAAAAUAGCAAAUAUUAAACACUUAAAUUUUUUCUAGAAGUUAGUAUUUCAAUUUUACCAUAGAGAGAUGGUUGCCUUAUCUAACGUCUUGAAAAGAGCCACCUUUGAUUUUUCUCUUCCUCUCUCUCUUACUUUUCUCUCUUUAUCUCUUUCUUCUUCCCCUUUAUUAAAAAAAUGGUCUUCUCAGUAUUUUUAAUAUAGAAUUCUGCAAAUGAAGUAAAGAACAUUACUAAUGUAGGCACUGAACACUUUUCAACGUUUUUCUUUUUAAAGAAAGUGACAGGUUCUACACACUGUUAUCUACUAAAAAUGAACCCAAUUUUGCGUCUGAGAAUGUUGCUGUGAAGAAAUGCUGCAUCUCAACAUCAGCCAAAAUAUGCUAACUACAAAAUGAAGCUGAAUGAAUUGCUUUGCUAGAUGAGGUUAUUUGGAACUAUAUUACUGAAUUUUGGAAAUUAUGUGUCCUAUCAAAGAAUAACUUUUGUCAUAAUGUCUUCCUUAGCUCCCAGGACAUUUAUUUAUGCCACUCCUCGUCCAGUCAGUUCAGACACCAUUUAGAGGAAGUCUCCCAUAUUCCAGGCAUCUACCAGCUUCUAAAGAUCUAGAAACAAAUAAGAACCAAAUUUUCUGUAUGAUUCACAGAGCAGCAGAGAUGACAGACAUAUUCACAUCUAAUUAUAAUGCACAGAGAUUGAGGGUUAUAAUGGAGAUAUUGCUAUGGGAACAUAAAUGAGUGAACAGUAUAUCUUGGUGGAGGUGCAGAAGGUAUAUUUACUGAAGAGAGGAAAGUAAAAAGAGGGAGAUUUGUAAUCUCUGAAGAAGAGUGUUCAAGGACUUAGACACAGUUUGGUUGUAUUUUAAGCAAGGAAAUCAAUUAUGGAUUGGUAAAAAGUUAACUCCGGGGCAAUUUUUUUUAAGCGUUGGUAACCUGUGAGAAAAUGAUCUAUAGUAAACAUUUCUUUUUAUUCCUCAGGCAGUACUUAAAGCACUGUUUUAGGAGUUAGAUGCUUUACUUAUACUAUCUUCUUUAAUAGUAGUAAUAACCCUCUCAGGUAAGAGUUGUUAAUAUCUUUGUAGAGAUAAACAAAUAGGUUCACAGAGAAUGAGCAAGUGGUUCCAUUUAUAUAGUUAAUAAUCACCACCAAUUGUCUGUCUGAUUGAAUUAAAUAUAAGAGAGGAACAUAUAGAAAUGAAGAGACAAAUUACAACAUUGAUAGAAAAGGAGGAUUGCGUUUAUGCUAUGGUUCUUUUUUGGUCCAUAGCAAAUUGAUUCUUUGUGAUGAACAUAACACCGAAAAUACCAAAUUUCAAUGACCACAUAUUCUAUUCAUAAUUUUAUUUAUUAUAAAAUGCCAACAAAGUUGGUAAUUUAAAGAAUUGCUUCUCUCCCUAUUUUUAAAAUAAGAACACAAGUAGAUUACUUUUAAUAAUAUCUAGUCUUUUCCUCAGCCUCUUCUAUUCUGAUAAGGGCUUAAGAAGCAAAUGGUUCUGAUAGAAAAGAACCACCCUGAAAUGUGGAUUAAGACUCGUCACCCAUAGAAAUCCUAGGUUCCACAGUUGUGACCAAUACAUGGCAUUCAAAGUUGAUCUCUCAAGAAGAAGCACUGUAGUUUAGAAAACUUCUGAAAGAAUUUUUUUCAUUGUUGAGUCAAAAUUUUGAUGAGAUUAAAGCAUUUUGUUCCACUUCUAGGGUCUCAAUGUUGAACAAUUUUAGCCUCUUUAAGAUGAAAAUACUUUUUUUUGAGGUGUUUAUUUUUUUUUUACUUCAAUAGCUUUUGGGGUACAAGUGAUUUUGUUUUUUUAAAUGAGUGAGUUACAUAGGUGAAUUCUGAAAUUUUAGUGAACCAGUCAGCCAAGUAGUGUAUAUUGUACCCAAUAUGUAGUUUUUUAUCCCACAACCCACUCCCAAUCUCCUCUAUAGGAGUCUUCAGAGUCCAUUAUAUUACUCUGUAUGCUUUUCAUGCUCAUAGCUUAGCUCCCACUUAUAAGUGAGAAUAUACAGUAUUUGAGUUUCCAUUCCUGAGUGACUUCAUUUAGAAUAAUGGCCUCUGGCUUCUUCCAAGUUGCUAGUAAAAACAUUUUUACGUUCCUUUUUGUGGCUGAGUAGUAUUCCGUGGUGUAUAUAUACCGCAUUUCCUUUAUCCAUUCAUGGGUUGAUAGGCACUUAGGAUGGUUCCGUAUCCUUGUAACUGAAUUGUGCUGCUAUAAACAUACCUGUGCACAUGUCUUUUCAUAUAAUGACUGGAUAAAAGUGCUUUAAAACAACUAAUGAGUCCAGCAUUAUUUCCAGUGGUACUGGUAAUGCAUUCAGGCAGAAAAUUUUUUUUACUCCUGAAUUUUUACCUGAACUAAUGCACUUUUUGUAUGCCAAUUAAUGUUUCUGAUUUUUUGCAUUGCCCCUGAGAUAUUUUAUAGCCUUGGGCAAAAAAUGUACUCUUCCAGCUCACGAAGAUAAAUGGAGAAAAUAGUGCCUUUCCUUAAUUUAUGGGGCUGUCGUAAUCAUUUAAUGUGUGCAACAUGCUAAAUGCUGUCAUUAUGGUACAGUAUUGGAUUUCUUUGUUGUAUUAUAGAGCAGGAUAUUCAAUAAUAAUAAGAUAGAACAGCUUUUUUUAACAACCUGUGUUCAAGCCACUGAUAAUAAUGAAAUUAUGCCAGAUGAGCUUAUUCUCCAACCUCUUCCUGAAGAAUCAGGAGGAUACAAAAUGUUUGAUUGAGGAAAAGCAUUAAUGGACAGAAAGCAAGUGUAGUCAUUACUCUGGGGAAUGACAUAGUUGAACAACUGAACAUGCUCUUCAGAAAUGAUUAGACUCAUAACUAUCAGUUGUACUAGUUCGGCUUUGAAAAUAUAGUAGCCAUCUCAUUUUACAACAUAAUGUAUAGUUAUCUCAUUUUACAACAUAAUGUAUAGUUAUGUCAUAUAAUUUUAGGGAAUCUUCUAAUGUAAGUUCCUACUGUUAGCAGUGAAAGAAACAGCUGGUCACUAGUGCAUUGUUUGAAAGAGCAAGAUGAAAUAGAAAUGUUGUCUAAGAGAUGCAUUCCUAUAAUGUUGAUGGUGAAUCAAAGUGUUUAGAGUAAGAGUUUUAUGGCGAUCAUUUAUUAUAAACAUUGUAUUAUAAUGUCUUUAGUUCACUACUAUAAUAUCCUUGGUUUUUUGAGAAAUCCUCUCCCUCAUGCUAUUCAAUAAAAAUAUCUAAUGCACUUUUUCAGGGCUUAUGAAAACAAUAAAUAUUGUGACAAAUGACUAUUAGCAUGUCUAUGGAGUCUCAUUUGAGUACAGAUUCUUUUAUUGCAGAACACACAGGGCCAA